rnacentral:tRNA from 1 species
GCUCCCGUCCAGGCUAAUUUGUAAUCAGGGGGUCCCGGGUUCGAACCCUGGCGGGGGCACCA